UACGUAGGGUGCGAGCGUUGUCCGGAAUUACUGGGCGUAAAGAGCUCGUAGGUGGUUUGUCGCGUCUGCUGUGAAAAUCCAGGGCUUAACCCUGGACCUGCAGUGGGUACGGGCAGACUAGAGUGCGGUAGGGGAGAUCGGAAUUCCUGGUGUAGCGGUGAAAUGCGCAGAUAUCAGGAAGAACACCCGUGGCGAAGGCGGCUCUCUGGGACGGUACUGACGCUGAGACGCGAAAGCGUGGGGAGCGAACAGG
rnacentral:rRNA from 1 species